rnacentral:sRNA from 1 species
GUUCGAAUCCUGCACGACCCACCAAUCGUUCGGUGGAAACGAGAAUAAAACGUGAAGGAUAACGUUGCGUCAGCAACGGCCCGUAGGGCGAGGCGAAGCCGAGUCAUCCUGCACGACCCACCG